GAUGAACGCUGACAGAAUGCUUAACACAUGCAAGUCUACUUGACUCUUCGGGUGAUGGUGGCGGACGGGUGAGUAACGCGUAAAGAACUUGCCCUGCAGUCUGGGACAACAUUUGGAAACGAAUGCUAAUACCGGAUAUUAUGCGAGAUUCGCAUGUUUCUCGUAUGAAAGCUAUAUGCGCUGCAGGAGAGCUUUGCGUCCUAUUAGCUAGUUGGUGAGGUAACGGCUCACCAAGGCGAUGAUAGGUAGCCGGCCUGAGAGGGUGAACGGCCACAAGGGGACUGAGACACGGCCCUUACUCCUACGGGAGGCAGCAGUGGGGAAUAUUGGACAAUGGACCAAAAGUCUGAUCCAGCAAUUCUGUGUGCACGAUGAAGUUUUUCGGAAUGUAAAGUGCUUUCAGUUGGGACGAAGUAAGUGACGGUACCAACAGAAGAAGCGACGGCUAAAUACGUGCCAGCAGCCGCGGUAAUACGUAUGUCGCAAGCGUUAUCCGGAUUUAUUGGGCGUAAAGCGCGUCUAGGCGGUUUGGUAAGUCUGAUGUGAAAAUGCGGGGCUCAACUCCGUAUUGCGUUGGAAACUGUCAAACUAGAGUACUGGAGAGGUGGGCGGAACUACAAGUGUAGAGGUGAAAUUCGUAGAUAUUUGUAGGAAUGCCGAUGGGGAAGCCAGCCCACUGGACAGAUACUGACGCUAAAGCGCGAAAGCGUGGGUAGCAAACAGGAUUAGAUACCCUGGUAGUCCACGCCGUAAACGAUGAUUACUAGGUGUUGGGGGUCGAACCUCAGCGCCCAAGCUAACGCGAUAAGUAAUCCGCCUGGGGAGUACGUACGCAAGUAUGAAACUCAAAGGGAAUUGACGGGGACCCGCACAAGCGGUGGAGCAUGUGGUUUAAUUCGACGCAACGCGAGGAGCCUUACCAGCGUUUGACAUCCUAGGAAGUUGGCAGAGAUGCCUUCGUGCCCCUUCGGGGGAACCUAGUGACAGGUGGUGCAUGGCUGUCGUCAGCUCGUGUCGUGAGAUGUUGGGUUAAGUCCCGCAACGAGCGCAACCCCUUUCGUAUGUUGCCAUCAUUAAGUUGGGAACUCAUGCGAUACUGCCUGCGAUGAGCAGGAGGAAGGUGGGGAUGACGUCAAGUCAUCAUGCCCCUUAUACGCUGGGCUACACACGUGCUACAAUGGGUAGUACAGAGAGUCGCUAACCUGCGAGGGGGAGCUAAUCUCAGAAAACUAUUCUCAGUUCGGAUUGUACUCUGCAACUCGAGUACAUGAAGUUGGAAUCGCUAGUAAUCGCAAAUCAGCUAUGUUGCGGUGAAUACGUUCUCGGGUCU
rnacentral:rRNA from 1 species